CAGGUAACAAAAUUCAUUUGAAAAUGAAUUUCUCGGUGGGUGCCAUCAUCAUUAUUCAAGGUGAUUCAUCAAAAACUCAUGGGUUGACAAGUGUCGGUGACAAUGAGCUCUCGCCUCUUGAUGCAUUCAAGAAAAGCUGAGGAGCUCAAGAACAUCACAUCAAGUCAUUGUGUUAGGAAUUUGGAAGGAAGACUUAACAAUCACAAGCAAGCUAAAGUGAAAGUACAAGGCUCCAAUUGAAAGAAAAUAAAAGUAUGAAGAAAAUGUUUAUGUGCGCAAAGAAGCUACUCUUCUAAUACAAGUUGCAUGCUUAAGGAGAUUUUUAUUUCAUUAAGGACAUUUUUGUAAUAAUUAGAUUAGGCUAUAAAUAGUAAAGAAUAGCUCCUUUAAAUUCAGAUUAUUUUGUGAUAUUGAGAUUAUGUGUAAAACUUUUGUGAGAAUAUAAUUGAGAUUAAAACAUUUGUUUA